CUAAGUUCUUUUAAAUGAUUUUACAGGAUGGAACCAUAGGAAAUGCAACACAGACAAAGCUGAGGCUCACUAUCCCUAGAGAGCCUGAUCUUGAAACAGCAAAUAGGGCACAAAGGAUAAGGACAAAAACUAGUAAAGAACCUGAAAAUGUGACAUCAACUGUUCGUAGAUUCAAAGCUCUUCCACUAAAUAGAUAAAUUCUUGAAGCACCUUCAUUGUUACUUCCUAAAAGAAGCACCCCUCAUUUACCGGAGUUUCAAGAAUUCCACUUGAAGACAUCAGAGAGGGCUAUGCAACACAUUGCAGCAGAGUCAACGUUCACUGCCCUAAAUGGGAACUUUAGCAGAUAUUUCCAUCAUUCUGAUAAGGUAUUUAGCAGAUAUUUAAAAUGCGAUGAACAUCUUUAACCAAGUAUGGAACUUUAUCCAUUUUCGUCAGAUUGUAUAAUGUCUACGGUACAAUAGUGACUUUGGAACUGGAUGUUCUCAAAAUUAUCAACUUUAUAGGGCACAGUCUAUUCCCUAAAUGGAAAGGUUCAGGUAGGGGUCAAAAACCUUUUUAUUUAUUCUUUUAAUUCUGGAUUUGGCAGUACUUGGCAUGGGCUAGGCUCUAAAUCUAAAAUGAUGCUAAAACUUCAUUGGCUGUUGAUUUAUUUGUUAAUUUUUUGCCUUCUAAUCGAUGAAUGAGAUCUUGUUAUUCAGGGCUUGCAGAAAUCUAGUACUACUACAACCAUAAAAUGUGGAAACAGAGAUCUCAGAAGGUAAUACAUUGAAAUGGUUUCAGAGAUAUUGUGAUGCUUUGUUUAUUGACGGGUGGGAUGUAGCAUUUUACACCUUUUAUAUGCUUUCUAUCCAUAUUUUGUUAGCUUAUUUACUUCUUUCAGUACAUGAAUGUAGCUGACCAGUGCUUGUUGAAACCUGGAACCUUUGUUUUCUUUUUCUGGUUUCGCUUGCUGAUCAAACCUCUUCUGGCCAUUAUUAUUAAUUUGAUUCAAUACGGAUACUUGAUAUUUGCUCUUUUUGUUUUGAUAUGUUUUUCCCCAGAGCAAGAUCACCACAACAAGCGAUGUACUUCUUUUAAACAUGGAAAAUUCGUCUAAAAGCUGGUGUUGCCUAAGGGCAUAUUGGCUGAAGUAUAUUAUUCAUUUUUUAUUCUGCAAUUCCUAUUUUCAUUUCGUAAUAAUUAAAAACAAAGAGAGAAGCACAAAGACAUCUGCUUGUUUU